GACAGAGGGUGCAAACGUUGCUCGGAAUUACUGGGCGUAAGGCGCAUGUAGGUGGUCACGCAAGUCAGGUGUGAAAGCCCAGGGCUCAACCCUGGAAGUGCACAUGAUACUACGUGGCUGGAGUACUGAAGAGGAGAGCGGAAUUCCCGGUGUAGAGGUGAAAUUCGUAGAUAUCGGGAGGAACACCAGUGGCGAAGGCGGCUCUCUGGGCAGAUACUGACACUGAGACGCGAAAGCGUGGGUAGCAAACAGG
rnacentral:rRNA from 1 species